rnacentral:tRNA from 1 species
ACCGCCAAGAUGGUACAUGAAUGCACCUGAGGAC